AGAACCUCCGGGGGCAAGAGGUUCGACUCGAGCGCAGCGAGAGAACGUUGCGUCAGCAACGGCCCGCAGGGCGAGCCACGCAGUGGCGAGUCAUCCUCUAUCACCGGCAG
rnacentral:sRNA from 1 species